UACGGGGGGGGCAAGCGUUGUUCGGAAUUACUGGGCGUAAAGGGCUCGUAGGCGGCCAACUAAGUCAGACGUGAAAUCCCUCGGCUUAACCGGGGAACUGCGUCUGAUACUGGAUGGCUUGAGGUUGGGAGAGGGAUGCGGAAUUCCAGGUGUAGCGGUGGAAUGCGUAGAUAUCUGGAGGAACACCGGUGGCGAAGGCGGCAUCCUGGACCAAUUCUGACGCUGAGUGAGCGAAAGCGUGGGGAGCGAACAGG
rnacentral:rRNA from 1 species